rnacentral:lncRNA from 1 species
AUCUAAAAUAGGUAGACAGAACACUCCAUUCAUAAAACUCAAUUUUUUACAAUCAUACAUGGUUUGACACUUUUAUGAGAGUUAAAAAGAGAUGGGUACAUAAAUAUGACAACACGGUUGAGUUUCGUCUGUCUUUCUGUCAUUUCUCUCUAUCAGUGGCGUGACGGUGGGGUGCUGUUUUUUUAUCAAGAUUUGUAAAAAAGUUAUUUUAAUUUAAAUUUUAAUUUGUAAUAUACAUAGUAAUAUAUAAUGUAGGGCCGUUUGCACUAAGUUCUUUAAGCAAAACUUAACACUACGUAUAGCUUAUUCUCUUGCACUAUGCUUUAACUCUUAAAGUUAAAUUUAGCGGUCAAAUUUCCAGGCUAGUGUCUACUUAACCUGACUUAACCACAAACAAAUUGUUUUAUGUGGAAGCAUUAUUAUAUUCUUUUGAGAAAGUUAAAAAGUGUAUUUUACGCGAUACCUCUACGUAAGUACGAUGGAUAUUACUAGUAUAUUCUAGAUAUUAUUGAAAAUGGAUUUCCUCAAGAGUGGAUGUAAGGAAGAAUCAUAUUUCGAAGAAAAUGAGCCCCCUUGAGUUUUUAGGACAUUGAGAUUUUUUAAAAGACACUGCAAUCUUUAAUUGAACAAAAUAUAGAAUAUCAAGACAGAAAUAAAAGCACAAGUGUCUAAAAUCAACUCAUAUCCAUUAAGAUUCUACACUUCAGGUGGUCAUGUGCAGUCUACAGAUGUUUUUGUGAGAAUGGAUGUUUCUACUACUUCUCAUAUUGUAGCAAAGUAUUCCAUGAACUUGCACUGCUUUACCCAUGGCUCAUAAAAAUGCCCGAAUAAGUAACUCUAAUUUCAGAGCAGGAAAAGUUUUACAGUAUGUUUGGGUUUCCUCGGAUUAUAGGGAUAGUUGCUGGAACACAAUGUAAGAAUACAUUCACGUGGUACAGGGGGUAAUGAUGGAGACAUAUUUAGAAAUAGAAAAGGAUUAUUUUCCCUAAACAUUCAAAUUACUGGAAAUGCUAAUCUAAAAAUUAUAGAGUUGAAUGCUCGUUGGCCUGGGUCCUUGCAUGAAGCUACCAAUUUUUGGAUAUUUAAGGACCCGCUUUGAAACUUGAAACUGGUAACUUUCCAAAUUAAAUCCUACUUGGUUAUAGUGCAUAUGCAUUGAGGGAAUAUAUGCAGAAAUAGAGGUGAAGAGCUAUAUCAGACUCGACUGGUUCAGACAAGAAAUGUUAUAGAAUUAUUAGAAUAUGAAAAGGCCCCUUUUCAAUAUGUGCCUUAUGGUAUAAGAUACAACCACAAUGUCUGUUAUUGUUGCAAAAAUUGAUACACAAUAUAGCCAGAUACAUUAAUCAGAGCCGCCGCCAUUAGAUGAAAUAAAUAUUGAAAGUAUGAGAAGAAAGAAUAUGAAAGUUAUUUUAAACAUGUUUUUAUUUUGUUAUAAAAUCUUUUGGGUAUUAAUUAAUAUAAAACAUCA